rnacentral:lncRNA from 1 species
CCCCAACUCUAAGGUUUCUCACACCAUUUUUUUUUGUCACACAAAAUUCAUCCCUUCUUAAGUGUGGCAUCCCAUUGAAGAUAAGGAUAAGAAUAAGAUAGUUUUGGUUCAAGUUUAAACGUUGGUUGAUCCUUAUCAUCAAUUUAAAUCAAAUUUAAAUUAAAUUUUGAAUUAAAUUUUAUCUUUCUCUUAGAAAUGUAGAUACUGG